rnacentral:rRNA from 1 species
CAAGUCAAGGGGUCGCAAGACACCGGCGAACGAGGUAGUAACACGUGGGUACAUCCCCCAGAGUCAGGAAUAACCAGUCGAAAGAUGGGGUAAUACUUGAUAGUCUCUUCGGAGUAAAGAUUUAUCGCUCUGGGAAUGGCCUGCGGAGUAUCAGCUAGUUGGUAGGGUAAUGGCCUACCAAGGCUAUGACGCUUAGGGGACCUGAGAGGGUGACCCCCACCGAUGGUACUGAGACACGGACCAUACACCUACGGGUGGCCGCAGUCGAGAAUCUUCCACAAUGGGCGAAAGCCUGAUGGAGCGACGCCGCGUGAUGGAUGAAGUCCCUUUGGGACGUAAACAUCUUUUAUAGAGGAGAAAGUUUAUUGAUAGUACUCUACGAAUAAGGGGUUGCUAAACUCGUGCCAGCAGCAGCGGUAAUACGAGUGCCCCGAGCGUUAUCCGGAAUCAUUGGGCGUAAAGGGUGUGUAGGUGGCAGUGUUAGUCGAUUGUUAAAACCUGGGGCUUAACCCCAGAUGUGCGAUCGAAACGGCACAGCUAGAGGAUGGCAGGGAUGUAUGGAACUCAUGGAGUAGGGGUGAAAUCCGUUGAUAUCAUGGGGAACACCAAAAGCGAAGGCAGUACAUUGGGCCACUCCUGACACUGAAACACGAAAGCGUGGGUAGCGAAUGGGAUUAGAUACCCCAGUAGUCCACGCCCUAAACGAUGACAACUAGCUUUUCGGAGUAUCGACCCUCUGAGAGGCGAAGCUAACGCGUUAAGUUGUCCGCCUGGGUAGUACGACCGCAAGGUUAAAACUCAAAGGAAUAGACGGGGACUUGCACAAGCAGUGGAUUAUGUGGUUUAAUUCGAUGAUAAACGAAAAACCUUACCAAGGUUUGAAACCUAACUGAAUGGAAGCAGAAACGUUUCC